rnacentral:rRNA from 1 species
GACGAACGCCGGCGGCGUGGAUUAGGCAUGCAAGUCGAACGGUAUCAUCCUUUCGGGGAUGAGAGAGUGGCGAACGGGUGAGUAACACGUAGGUGAUCUACCCUCAAGACGGGGACAACCCAGGGAAACUUGGGCUAAUACCGGAUGUGAGCUACCUUCGGGUAGUUUGAAAGAUGGCUUCGGCUGUCGCUUGGGGAUGAGCCUGCGUCCUAUUAGCUAGUUGGUGAGGUAACGGCUCACCAAGGCGGUGAUAGGUAGGCGGCCUUAACGGGUGGUCGCCCACACUGGGAUUGAGAUACGGCCCAGACUCCUACGGGAGGCAGCAGUCGAGAAUAGUCUACAAUGGUCGAAAGACUGAUAGUGCGACGCCGCGUGAACGAAGAAGCCCUUCGGGGUGUAAAGUUCUUUUAUAUGUGAGCAGUGCCAUUUAUGUGAAUAGCAUGGGUGGAGAGAUAUUAGCAUAUGAAUAAGCAACGGCUAACUCCGUGCCAGCAGCCGCGGUAACACGGGGGUUGCGAGCGUUGUCCGGAAUUACUAGGCGUAAAGGGCAGGCAGGCGGAUCUAUAAGUUUUUCGUUUAAGGCGUCAGCUUAACUGGCGUACGGCGGGAGAUACUGUAGAUCUGGAAUGCGGUUGGGGAAGACAGAAUUCCUGGUGUAGCGGUGGAAUGCGCAGAGAUCAGGAGGAAUACCGAAGGCGAGGCAGUCUUCCAAGCCGUUAUUGACGCUCAACUGCGAAAGUGUGGGUAUCAAACAGGAUUAGAUACCCUGGUAGUCCACACAGUAAACGAUGAUCACUAGUGUCGGGUUCGAAGAGGAUUCGGUGCCGUAGCUAACGCGAUAAGUGAUUCGCCUGGGGAGUACGAUCGCAAGGUUGAAACUCAAGGAAUUGACGGGGGCCGCACAAGCGGUGGAGCAUGUGGUUUAAUUCGAAGCAACGCGAGACCUUACC